CUGAGGCUUGUCCAAGAUCACACAAAACUGAAAGUGAGAAGAUAGUCACCUAUGGACCAGAAAGCAGGCCCUCACCAAACUUCAAACCUGCCAGCCUGGAUCGUGGGAUUCCCACCUCCACAACUGGUGAAGAACACGAACACAGGGAGUUAGAGUCCCACAUGCUGAUAACUCCAUCAAGAGAGAAGAAAGGUUUUUCUCUUCCAGCUGCAGAAUGAGAACCUCCAGGGAAGGAGUAAUAAUAAAAUAGGUCCAGUCUGAGUCUUAAAAAAGGAAGCAAAUAUAAUAGCUCCAAACAUGAUUACAGGUAAGGUAGGUCAUAGUCGGAUUAUUGAGAAUGGUUUAAGCUAUGCAACAUUUGGAUUUCACCCAUUAUCUUAAAGGGGAUCAGUGAAGGGCUUUCAAUAGAAGAGUAAUAUAUCUGGUUUCUAUUCUUAAAGCACAAAGAAGGAUGGGGUAACAGGAG